CAUAUUAAGGUGCCCUGGACAGAGAAAAUUAAACAGUGGUUUCAGAUAAGUACUGCAAACUGAAAGUCAUGUGGGCAGAUGCUCUGAAUUUUGAGCCCUUCUUCAUUAGCAAUUUAAUAAAACCUUGCUCAUGAUUGUGUAUCAAUAAAGAUUUAUUUAAGAAUAAUUACAGUUUUUUCCAAGGAAUACUGCAGUGGUCAGCUAGCAUUCAAAGAAAUUCAAUAUAGUUUUGAUUAAAUUGCUUGAGUAAUUAUAUUUGGCAUUGCAAAAGUCACUUCAUUAUUUUGUUGACAAUCUUUAAGCACAAUAAUAUGUAAUAAUUUGUAAUUUACCGCAAUUGCAAUUGAAUCUCUUAUGCAUUGAAGCUAGUGUGCUGGAAUUAGCUUCCCUGUCCAUCUCAACUUGAGUUUUUAUUUUUCCGUCUUAAUCAAUGUCUACUCAGCUACACUCAUGACAUGAAAACUUUGUUGCUUUGUGAAAUACUUCAGAAAAUAGCUAACUGAUAAUAUUGGUAAGCAGUAAAAAAGACCUAAGACACUAGCAAUUCUUAUCCCUCAAAUACCUUUAUACUGUUAUGACUCUGACCUUGUGAUAUGUAGAACCAUCAAGAGUCUGAAGAAAUCACUUACUUUAAAAAAAAAUUGGUACUACUGAAUUUUUAAGAAAAAUUUCAUACUGUAAUAGUAUUCUUGACUUUGAAAAUUCUUGAAAGUCUCAGGAGAUAUCCUUUGAGAAUUCAGCAGUCUCCUGUAGUAGGAUUAGAUUUAUGGGACACUUGUAGUUUACAUGAAGCUUUGAAAUUCAAAGUUAAUGGGGUUUCCCUGGUGGUGACCCAUACAAAUAGAGAUGUCAGAACAAAAUGAAGCAUAAACUCUGACUGCUGUUGAGGGGUCUAAUUUUAUUAUAAUGUAGAAGAAAAGAGAGAGGGGGCAAAACAAGCAAUAACAGUUAUAUUAAUCUCUUCUGGAAAAGUAGAGUUGGAACAACUUUUGGAGAUUUUAAGUUUAAGAAGCAAGAAAAUAAAUCAGGUCAGAGAAUAUGCAGAGUAAGACAAUAUACAAGCUGAAUCACAGUGUAAUUUCCAAUGAUGGUCAUUACCUGAGAGUAAAGCCAGCAUGCCUCGCCCCUCCUCGGGGUCUGUCCUGAAUCCUUACCCUGUGCAUUAUUUUAUACAAUAAAGCUUAAAGUAGUCAAGGUGGAGACAAGGGAUGGUAUUAAUGAACUAGAGUCCCAUUCAGUCCCUUUCAGAGGCUCUGAUACGUCUUUCUACACUUACUAAUCAGUUUAUCAUAAUCUUCUUGAUCCCAGGAUUCUCCUGCACACAUACAUUUCAUAAGCACUUUCACUUUUUAAUGUUUUAACAUUUAUUUAGUAUUAAUUCUAUCUCAAAAUUAAAGGGAAGCUACUGAAGUAAAAAAGCCACAACUUUGCAGACUUCAGCCAAGGGAAAGAGAAAGACAAGCUAAUUUUUGACAAAUGACUAUGGAAAAAUAUACAGUAAGUGGCUUUGGUCCCAAGGGGAUUUAUGAGUAUCAAAUGAGAUAAAGCAUACACAAUUCCAGGUACCUUACUAGUAAGCACUCAGGGUUACCAAUCAUCAAAGCCUUUAUCAGUCAAUCUUAGGGUAUAAAUCAUGCUGCACACUUUCCUGUGUCUUUUUUUUUUAGGGCCGCACUCGCGGCAUAUGGAGAUUCCCAGGCUGGGGGUCUAAUCAGAGCGGUAGCCGCUGGCCUAUACCAGAGCCACAGCAACGCCAGAUCCGAGCCAAGUCUGCGACCUACACCACAGCUCACAGCAAUGCAGGAUCUUUGACCCACUGAGUGAGGCCAGGGAUCGAACCCACAACCUCAUGGCUCCUAGUCGGAUUCGUUUCUGCUUCGCCAUGACGGGAACUCCUCCUGUCUUUUUAAACUGGUGGUAGUUACCUUUGUGCUCUCAUUUACCUUUGCUAAUUAAAUCUAAUUAAACUAGCUUUUAAGAAUGUAUAAAAUUUAUCUAUUAUGCUCCCUCUCAGAAUUGUCUGUCCAAUAUGAUUUACUAUGAACUACAAAUGCGAGUUGUAUAUGCAAUUUUAAAUUUUCUAGUAUUCACAUCAAAAAAGAACAAGAGCAAAAAAGUAAAAUUAAUUUGAUUUAUAUCCUUUAAGCCAGUAUUUACAGAAUAUUAUUAAUUUCAUUGAUUUAUAUGUAAUUGUAUAAAAUUAUUAAUGAGAUCAUUUACUUUGUUAAAGUUUAAAAAAUCUGGUGUGUUUAUUAUACUUACACACAUCUCAGUUCAUACUAGCCACAGGUCAGGCAUUCAACAGCCACAUUCAACUAGUAGUUACAUAAUAGAUAUUGCAGAUGUAAAUAAAGACAGAAUAAACAAAGCGAAAUGGAGUCAUCUCUAAUUAUGUAUUUUCAAUUAUUUACACAUGAAUUGGGUGAUUUUUUUCACUGUUCACAAUGGAUAGGGAGGAUAGCACAGCUAUGACUAGGACCAAGGCCUUUGUUUGUUUUUGUUGUUAAAUCACUUCUAAUAAUAACCUGCUUUCUGGAGUCCCCCUUGUGGCUCAGUGUUAACCAGCCUGACUAGUAUCCAUGAAGACACAGUUUUGAUCCCUGGCCUUGCUCAGCAGGUUAAAGAUCUGGCAUUGCCAUGAACUGUGGUUUAGGUCUCAGACGUGGCUUGGAUCUGGCAUUGCUGUGACUGUGACAUAGGCCAGCAGCUGCAGC
rnacentral:lncRNA from 1 species